CUUAGGGGGAAGAUGACUGGCUCAUCCAGGAAUUGGAAGUGCAUUGAGAAAAGAGUCAACAUGUGCUUGAUGCUUAGAAAAGAGAGCUGCGCUCAGUUUGGAGAGAGUAGAGUUAUGUUAAGUAGGCAGUUAUUUUAAGAAACCUAGACAGCAUGGCAGAAAUCUAGAAGACACAGUAUGGGUUUUAUUUUAUUUUUAAUUGAAGACACUUGGACAUCUUUAUAGGGGAACAGGGCCACUGGUUUUCACUCCAAAGAAGAGAAAUGUGGUCUACAGAUGAUGGCAGGCCGGGAAUGGAACCUGAGCCAUAGCAGUGACAACAAUAGAGCCCCAACCCGCUUAACCACCAGGGAAGAGUGGAAAACUUCAAAUAUGGAGAAGAGCAAGUAAUACAAAGUAUCCCCAUGUGCCCACCAAUAAGAUCUAACAAAUGAGAGUACUUUGCCUAAAGAAAUAAAAACAUUGUAGAGACAGCGUAUGUGCUCCUGUUUCCCCAUCCUUCCUGAUUCUCUUUCUCUCUGCAGAGGUAAUCCAUCAUUGUCUUCAGAUUCAUCAGAAUUUUCUAUGUAAAUAAUCAUGCCAACUGCCAACAAAGCAGUUUACACCUUUUUUCCCAAUCCAUUGAGGGCCACUAGUACAAUGUUGAAAGGAGGUGAUAAAAAUGGAUAUCCUUGCCUUGUUCUCAAUUUCAGAUGUAAAAUGUUCAAUUUUUCACCAUUAUACAUGAUGUUAACUCUAAAUACUCAUAUGUGUCCUGCAUCAAAUGUAUACAUGUACUCUAUCAAAUUGAAGAAUUAAAUCA